GAUUUAGCCAUGCUAGUCGCACGAGUUCAGACUCGUGGCGAAUAGCUCAGUAACACGUGGCCAAACUACCCUUCGGAACACAAUACCCUCGGGAAACUGAGGCUAAUAGUGUAUACCAUACCACCACUGGAAUGAGUGGUAUGCCAAACGCUCCGGCGCCGAAGGAUGUGGCUGCGGCCGAUUAGGUAGACGGUGGGGUAACGGCCCACCGUGCCAAUAAUCGGUAUGGGUCAUGAGAGUGAGAACCCAGAGACGGAAUCUGAGACAAGAUUCCGGGCCCUACGGGGCGCAGCAGGCGCGAAACCUUUACACUGCACGACAGUGCGAUAGGGGGAUCCCAAGUGCACAGGCAUAGCGCCUGUGCUUUUCGGUACCCUAAGGCGGUACCAGAAUAAGGGCUGGGCAAGACCGGUGCCAGCCGCCGCGGUAAUACCGGCAGCCCAAGUGAUGGCCGAUCUUAUUGGGCCUAAAGCGUCCGUAGCUGGCCGCGCAAGUCCAUCGGGAAAUCCACCUGCUCAACAGGUGGGCGCCCGGUAGAAACUGCGUGGCUUGGGACCGGAAGGCGCGACGGGUACGUCCGGGGUAGGAGUGAAAUCCCGUAAUCCUGGACGGACCGCCGAUGGCGAAAGCACGUCGCGAGAACGGAUCCGACAGUGAGGGACGAAAGCCAGGGUCUCGAACCGGAUUAGAUACCCGGGUAGUCCUGGCCGUAAACAAUGUCUGCUAGGUGUGGCUCCCACUACGAGUGGGUGCUGUGCCGUAGGGAAGCCGCUAAGCAGACCGCCUGGGAAGUACGUCCGCAAGGAUGAAACUUAAAGGAAUUGGCGGGGGAGCACUACAACCGGAGGAGCCUGCGGUUUAAUUGGACUCAACGCCGGACAUCUCACCAGCAUCGACUGUAGUAAUGACGAUCAGGUUGAUGACCUUAUCCGAG
rnacentral:rRNA from 1 species